GACCGCUCCGGUAGCCUUAGAGUUGGUUAGAGCGUCCUCCUCAGAUGCGGGAGGUCGUGGGUUCGAUCCCCGGUCGAGUCA